rnacentral:rRNA from 1 species
UACAGAGGUCUCAAGCGUUGUUCGGAUUCAUUGGGCGUAAAGGGUGCGUAGGCGGCGCGGUAAGUCGGAUGUGAAAUCUCAGAGCUUAACUUCGAAACUGCAUUCGAUACUGCCGUGCUUGAGGACUGGAGAGGAGACUGGAAUUUACGGUGUAGCGGUGAAAUGCGUAGAUAUCGUAAGGAAGACCAGUGGCGAAGGCGGGUCUCUGGACAGUUCCUGACGCUGAGGCACGAAGGUCAGGGGAGCAAACGGG